rnacentral:rRNA from 1 species
UCCGUAGUGACCUGCGGAAGGUCAUUA